rnacentral:lncRNA from 1 species
CAACUCAAACCAUCACAUAAAUGGCUUUUCUAAAUAUAAUCUUAAUUCUAUUUAAAUAUUCUGGCCAUAGAAAAAAGAGAUUUAAAAAAAUUUAUGAAAUGAACAUUGACGGGAAAAAACGAAAAAGAUUGCAUACAUACAUAAAACAAUAGAAUAGGCCCACUUGAAAACAUUGAUGCAGAGAACAUUUUUUUAAGAUUUUAUUUAUUCAUGAGAGACACAGAGAGAGAGUCAGAGACACAGGCAGAGAGAGAAGCAGGCUCCACACAGGGAGCCCGAUGUGGGACUUGAUCCCAGGACCCCAGGAUCAUGCCCUGGGUGAAGGGAGGCGCUCAACCACUGAGCCACUCAGGCGUCCCAACGCAGAGAUCUUUAAAUAAGAUAUUAGCAAAUAGAAUCCAACAACACAUUUUUAAAGAUAUACAUUAUGGCCAAGUGAUACUCACUACAGGAAUGAAAUAAUUCCAAUAUUAGGAAAUCCAUUAAUGUAAUUGAUUGUAUUUCUAAGAAGAAAUAUCAUGAUCAUCUCCACAGUUGCCAGUAAAACAUUUGUCGUAAUUCACACCCAUUUCUGUUUUUUAUUUUUUAAGAGAUUUUAUUUAUUCACGAGAGACACAGAGAGGCAAAGACAGAAGCAGGCUCCUCACGGGGAGCCCAAUGCGGGACUCGAUCCCAAAACUCCGAGACCACUCCCUGAACCUAAGGCUCAACCACUGAGACACCUGGGUGUCCUCAUACCCAUUUCUGAUUUAAAAAUCUUAUUGAGGGGAUCCCUGGGUGGCUCAACGGUUUAGCGCCUGCCUUUGGCCCAGGACGCGAUCCUGGAGUCCCGGUAUCGAGUCCCACAUCAGGCUCCUGGAAUGGAGCCUGCUUCUCCCUCUUCCUGUGUCUCUGCCUCUCUCUCUCUCUUUCUAUGUCUAUCAUAAAUCAAUCAAUCUUAAAAAAGAAAUCUCCCUUUAAAUAAAUAAAUAAAUAAAUAAAUAAAUAAUAAAAAUAAAAAUCUUAUUGAAAGGACGCCUGGGUGGCUUAGUAGGUUUGGCGCCUGAUUUCGGCCCGGGGUGUGAUCCUGGAGUUCCAGGAUUGAGUCCCUCAUCAGGCUCCCUGCAUGGAGCCUGUUUCUCCCUGUGCCUCUGCCUCUCUCUGUGUGUCUCUCAUGAAUGAAUAAAUAACAUCUUAAAAAAAUAAAAUAAAAUCUUAUUGAAGUAGAAAUCAGUGGACAUUUCCUUAACAUGAUUUAAAAAUGUGUGUGUGCAUGUGCACAAAAACUAGCAUGCUUUUGUUUUUUAAAGUUUUAUUUAUUAAUUUGUUUAAGAGAAAGCAUGUACCAGUGUGGACCAGCACGUGAGUGGGGGUAGGAGAGAGACAAGCAGCCUCUGCUCUGCGUGCUGGGCUGGGCUUGCGGCUCCUGGCUCCGUGAGGGGCUCCACCCCCCCACGCUGGAAUAGUGACCUAGCCAAAAUCAAGAGCCGGCUGCCCAGUGGACUGAGCCACCCAGGUGCCCAAAAGCUGGAAUGUUUUUUAAUGAAGAAACACUUGAGGCAUUCUUGUUACUUAGGAAUAAGGACAAGAAUGCCACUACCACUAAACAAGGUAUCAAUAUUAAUUAAAAAGGGUAAAAUAAAAACAUCUUUUCUUAGAAGAUUCUAUCAUGUUUAUCUGAGAAAUGGAAGAGAAUCAAUAGGAAAAUGUAAAUAAUAAGAAAAUUUAGUAGAGUAAGAUGUUAUAAAAUUAACAAAGGAAAUAUAGUAACCUUUCUAUGUUCAAAUAAUAAUCAGAAGAUGUAAUAGGAAAGAAAAGUCUUUAAGAUAACAACAAAGCAUGGGAUGUCUGGGUGGCUCAGUUGGUAGGCAGCUGUCUCUUGAUUUUGGCUCAAGUCGUGAUCUCAGGGUCCUGGGAUCAGUCCCCGUCAGACCCUGUGCUUGGUGGGAGUCUCCUUCUCUCUCUCUCUUCCUCUCUACACCUACCCCUGCUUGCACUCUCUGUCUUUCUGAAGUAAAUAAAUCGUAGGGAAGAAAACUAAAAAGAAAAUAUCCACAAGCAGUUAAAAUGCUUAGACAAUAAUUUAACAGAAAUAUACAUAUGCAAAUGUAUAUGAAGAAAACUUUAAAAUAUUACUAAAAGAGACAAAAAUCAACAUAAACAAAUGGAAAAAUAAGUCCUGUUUUUAUUUAUCUAUUUAUUUAUUAAGAUUUUAUUUAUUUAUUUAUUCAUGAGAAACACAGAAAGAGAGAGAAAGAGAGGCAGAGACACAAGCGGGCUGCCUGCAGGGAGCCCGAUGUGGCACUUGAUCCUGGACUCUGGGAUCAUGCCCUGAGCCAAAGGCAGACACUCAACCACUGAGCCACCCAGGCUUCCCAAGUCUUGUUUUUAGAUAGGAAAAGUCAACAUCCUAAUGAUGUCAAUUCUAAGUUAAUUUAUAAAUGUAACAUGAUCCCAAUGGAAAAAUACCAACAGGUUGUCUCCUGGAAUUAAACAAAUUGAUCAUAAAGUUCUCAUGGAAAAUGACUAAACAAACAAACAAGAGUAUCCAGGAAAACCCUGAAAAUGUUCAGUGUCCUAUGAGAUGGAUAGCUAGCUGCACCUAAUAUUAAAAUGUAUUAUAAAACCUCUGUAGGGAUACCGGGUGGCUCAUUCGGUUAAACAUCUGCCUUCAGCUCAGGUCAUGAUCCCAGGGUCCUAGAAUCAAGCCUCGAGUCAGGCUUCCUACUUAGUGGGAAGUCUGCUUCUCCCUCUCCCUCGGCCUCUACCCUGGCUUGUGCUCUUUCUUGCUUACUCACUCUCUCUCUCAAAUAAAUAAAUAAAAUAUUUUUUUUAAUAUUCUAUCUAUUUAUUCAUGAGAGACACACACACACACACACAGAGAGAGAGAGAGAGGCAGAGAUACAGGCAGAGGGAGAAGCAGGCUCCACACAGGGAGCCUGAUGCGGGACUCGAUCCCGGGACUCCAGGAUCACGCCCUAAACCAAAGGCAGGCGCCAAACCACUGAGCCACCCAGGGAUCCCCCUAAA